GCUUUUGUUCUAUUGCUCUGUUUGGCUGCUUAGAAACUGAAAUAACUGUAAUUUGGAUUUCACAGCACUUGAGAAUUCAUCAAAGUUUGGUUUUUGAUUAAAGGUUUCAACUUCCUUGCCUCUAGAACUGAAAUGAAUGAGUAUAUUCAUGGUGUUUAGUGAUAAUUGGACAUACAGUUGCUUAGUAAUUACUGUAAAUUGUGAUCAUAGGAAACAAGAACAGCAUAAUGUUAUGAUUUUGGACAAAAGUUGUUUACUUUUAAUGAGAAUUGAUUUCAAAUUAUUCCUUCAACAACAACAAAUAGUGAUAACCUUUAUGCCCAAGAUUUAGAUAUAAGAAAGAAAUUAUCUGCAUUCUAGGUGUUUAAUAAUUAAAUGGAUAAGGUUGGGGGAUCUCACAAAGUUCAAUUUCUUUAUUACUUGACAGAAUUAUUUGUUUGCUUUUAAGAAUCUUAUAUUAUUUCUCUCCAACAACAAUUAUUAGAUCUGUAAUUGGAAUUGAAUAAUAGCAUAAAUGGCAUAAACAAAGCCACAAAGGAACCUAGCUAGCUCAAUGACGAUGUCUUUCUAUUGUGGGGACUGUGAACAGAGCCUUUGAAUCGUUUUGUUUCAUGAGUUGGUUCAGGAUAAAGCCGUCAAGAUAUUGAUCAAUCCAAUGGCUCUCAUGCAUGUUAUUGGAACUUCUUCUCAGGUAUGACACAUCAGCAACUUAUUGAUCAUGGACACCAAAUGAUGGAUGAGACUGAUCAAGCGAUUGAUAGAGCACAAAGGUUCUUCAUCAGACUACCAACUGAGGACUAUGACUUUGAAUGCUUUUGGGGUUUUCUGCAGUAUAUGCAGGUUUUAAGUUCUGAUUUUUAGUGAAGAUACUAAGGUAAAGACAUACUAAUUUCUCUAUUUUCAACCUUUUUCCUUCUUUUUUUUCCCCCCUAAUUCCUUUCGAAUUUUGAUUUUUUGUUAGCUGAUUUCAAUAUUUUUUGUUAUUAGUAUAUGUUUAUUUCUUAACUGUUUUUAUGUUGUUACCUUUUCUACAGCUUCCUCUGCCAUAUCUUAAAGUCGGAUAUCUUACUGUACGACCGGUACGGAAACCAAUUGCAUGCCAUAGUGAUUGGCUAUGAUCACUAUUUAUUUUGAACAAUGAAGAGCUUCAACAUGUCACCAAAGGUGACAAAAAGCAAGCAGAAGAUCAAGAGAUACAGUUAUGAAAGUUAAUAUUCCAGAUAUAUGUUCUGUUACAGUUUGGCACCAGAUAUGAGAUCAAUGAAAUUCAUCAACAAGUCUUACCUACAAAAUUGUUGA